CAUGCUGUUAUAACUAGUCCCUCUGUAGUGAAACAUGAUGUUAUAACUAGUCCCUCUGUAGUGAAACAUGAUGUUAUAACUAGUCCCUCUGUAGUGAAAAAUGAUGUUAUAACUAAUCCCUCUGUAGUGAAACAUGCUGUUAUAACUAGUCCCUCUGUAGUGAAACAUGAUGUUAUAACUAGUCCCUCUGUAGUGAAACAUGAUGUUAUAACUAGUCCCUCUGUAGUGAAACAUGGUGUUAUAACUAGUCCCUCUGUAGUGAAACAUGAUGUUAUAACUAGUCCCUCUGUGGUGAAACAUGAUGUUAUAACUAGUCCCUCUGUGUCUGUAGUGAAACAUGAUGUAAUAACUAGUCCCUCUGUAUCUGUAGUGAAACAUGAUGUUAUAACUAGUCCCUCUGUAGUGAAACAUGAUGUUAUAACUAGUCCCUCUCUAGUGAAACAUGAUGUUAUAACUAGUCCCUCUGUGGUGAAACAUGAUGUUAUAACUAGUCCCUCUGUAGUGAAACAUGCUGUUAUAACUAGUCCCUCUGUAGUGAAACAUGAUGUUAUAACUAGUCCCUCUGUAGUGAAACAUGAUGUUAUAACUAGUCCCUCUGUAGUGAAACAUGAUGUUAUAACUAGUCCCUCUGUAGUGAAACAUGAUGUUAUAACUAGUCCCUCUGUAGUGAAACAUGAUGUUAUAACUAGUCCCUCUGUGGUGAAACAUGAUGUUAUAACUAGUCCCUCUGUAGUGAAAUAUGAUGUAAUAACUAGUCCCUCUGUAUCUGUAGUGAAACAUGCUGUUAUAACUAAUCCCUCUGUAGUGAAACAUGAUGUAAUAACUAGUCCCUCUGUAUCUGUAGUGAAACAUGAUGUUAUAACUAGUCCCUCUGUAGUGAAACAUGAUGUUAUAACUAGUCCCUCUCUAGUGAAACAUGAUGUUAUAACUAGUCCCUCUGUAGUGAAACAUGAUGUAAUAACUAGUCCCUCUGUAUCUGUAGUGAAACAUGCUGUUAUAACUAGUCCCUCUGUGGUGAAACAUGAUGUUAUAACUAGUCCCUCUGUAGUGAAACAUGAUGUAAUAACUAGUCCCUCUGUAUCUGUAGUGAAACAUGAUGUUAUAACUAGUCCCUCUGUAGUGAAACAUGAUGUUAUAACUAGUCCCUCUCUAGUGAAACAUGAUGUUAUAACUAGUCCCUCUGUAGUGAAACAUGAUGUAAUAACUAGUCCCUCUGUAUCUGUAGUGAAACAUGCUGUUAUAACUAGUCCCUCUGUGGUGAAACAUGAUGUUAUAACUAGUCCCUCUGUAUCUGUAGUGAAACAUGAUGUUAUAACUAGUCCCUCUGUAGUGAAACAUGCUGUUAUAACUAGUCCCUCUGUAUCUGUAGUGAAACAUGAUGUUAUAACUAAUCCCUCUGUAGUGAAACAUGAUGUUAUAACUAGUCCCUCUGUAGUGAAACAUGAUGUUAUAACUAGUCCCUCUGUAGUGAAACAUGAUGUUAUAACUAGUCCCUCUGUGUCUGUAGUGAAACAUGAUGUAAUAACUAGUCCCUCUGUAUCUGUGGUGAAACAUGAUGUUAUAACUAGUCCCUCUGUAGUGAAACAUGAUGUUAUAACUAGUCCCUCUGUGUCUGUAGUGAAACAUGAUGUAAUAACUAGUCCCUCUGUAUCUGUAGUGAAACAUGAUGUUAUAACUAGUCCCUCUGUAGUGAAACAUGAUGUUAUAACUAGUCCCUCUCUAGUGAAACAUGAUGUUAUAACUAGUCCCUCUGUGGUGAAACAUGAUGUUAUAACUAGUCCCUCUGUAGUGAAACAUGCUGUUAUAACUAGUCCCUCUGUAGUGUAA
ensembl:lncRNA